AGCCUUGGAUUAACCUUUAACAAAUGAAGCUUUAGUUGCCACAGAGCCUCAAGAAUGUUUCCCUGUGAUGAAUGUGUCUGUCUGUGUGUAUUCGCGCGGACCCUGGGGGCUGGGAGAGUCACACUGUGGUCGGAACGACCCCUAGGAAGCCAGCUCGACUGAACUGACCAUGUUAAGAUAUUAGGAACGAUUUCCAGGGCCCAGAGCCCCCUGAUGGCCCUCUGCCACUAAACUACCAAAUACAGAGAAAACUAUUUCUCCGGCAAUAUAAAUACUAGACACAUCCAAACAGCAGAAUAGCCCCCAAAAGAUUUCUUUGUAAAUGGUCAUCUACUUAAAAAUUGAAUGAUGGCUUGCCGUGGGUCAUGGCAUUGUUGGGGGUGAUGAUAUGACUGAGCAGCUGGUGUUGUCAUGGAAACAAAUUUACAUAACACAGACAGGAGAAAAUGGAUCAAAUACGCCCCUCUUUCAUGUUGUGAAUAUCUCAUCAAUGCUAUGAAAUGAGACUGACUUACUGUUUAGAAAAAGUCCAGAUGUACAAGCUUGAAGAGAAUUUGGAAGAAUUUAAAGGAAAACCCGUAGAAAGAAUAGAUAAUACUGCAGGAUCUUUCCAAAUUCUCAUUCCAUCGCUCUUUGGUUUUGUUGGAUGAAAUUACAGCAGAACUUCCUAUGUCAUUUUGCCAUGCUGCUCCGUAGAUCAACAGGAAUUUUGAUUAACUAUGAUUUUUAUAAUGACGGCUUUGAGGAUCUUGUAAAGAAAUGUGCAAUGCAAAUUUGUAUUUUGUUUGGUGUGGUUAGAUUGGAUAAAGUUUGAAUUAUGUUUAGUCUUUAACAGAGUGUAAUGUUAUGAAAUUUUUUUUAAUUUUCAGGUACGUGUAGAAUUUUAUGAUCGACACAAAAUGACACUUCCAGAUUCAGUGUCCACAUCAUUGACUCCAGGAAAAUCUGUUCAUCUGACUCUACACGUGCAGCCAGCGAACAGACGUCCAAAUCCCAAUGUUUCUUUGUUGAGCACGGGCUCACGCUGUAGCGGAACCCUCGGAGUAUGGGCUGGUGCCACGGGGAAGCCAUCUUCCAGGAAGAGAAAGACAAGAUGGGUGGAGCAAGCCGCUAGGAAAGCUCUUCUCUCUGGCUCAGUGUUCUGUAGAAGAUGGAAGUAAAAUGGGCGCAUGUGGACUCUGCCGUUAGCCUGCCUGGGACUUUGUGACCGUCAGUCACCGUGGCGACUGUGACCAGUUAGGCCACAAGAACACAGCAGCCUCCCCAGCUCCCGCGCACCUUCAGAUGCACCCAUUCACGCAGCAAAGUGGACGUGCCUGCCCAGACAGCCGGAGUGAAGAUAGUUACUGGGCCCGGGGGAGAAAAGCCCCACCAUCUCUGGGACAUUGUCGCAGGCCUGUGGGAACCCUCUGGCAACCACAUUUCUACUUUCUGGCUCUAAGAAUGUGACCACUCCAGGUGCCUCGGUCCAAGGUGAAAGUUCCAGAGGCAGGCUGCUCUGACCCACUGCUGUUUAAGGACACAGGUUCCUUGUAAAUCUUUGCUCUGUCCUCCGCCGUCGCUGACUCCCCGGAAUACUUGUCAUCUGCACGGUUGAAGGUGGUUAUGCGCACAUCCAAGUUCAAGGUACCAACAAAAAGAAGAGAAUCCGUGUUGGAAAGGAACUUGAAAGAUUAUCUGAUCAUCUCUGCCUUCACGCAAGUGUAUUUAUUGUAAGCUAAUGAAUGAAGACGUGCAGGUAUAUACUCAGAUGUGACUGAGGUUAGACCACGGGCAGCUGGUGAAGUGAAGAUGAGACAGAAUCAUACUGCCUGGGUUCACGAUCCAGAAAUCCAAUAUUUACCUAUUUCAAUAAUAAUCAUGCUGUGGGGAAGAGGGCGCAAACUCACGAUGCAGAUUUCCAUCAAACAGAAUGACAACUGCUAGAAUUACUUUAGUCUAAAGAGUGCGUUUCAGGGGCGCCUGGGUGGCUCAGUCGGUUAAGCAGCCGACUUUGGCUCAGGUCAUGAUCUCGUG